rnacentral:snoRNA from 1 species
AAGUCUAUACUUUUAGAGAUCAUUUCUAUAGUAUCCAAGUCGAGAAAUUCACUCCAACACUGUAGGCUUUCAAGAAGAGAUUGGACUGCCAUCUGUCAGAGAUGGUGUAGAGUCUCCUGCUUGGGCAGGGGGUUUCUACUAGAUGACCUACAAGGUCCCUUCCAACUCUGUUAAAUCUAAAGGUGAUCAGCUGA